UUCCACCAGCUUGUUUUCAAGUCAGUGCUGGUGCUUUUUUUUUUUUGCAUUCAGUACUACAGAACUGCUGUCCAUAUGCUAAAAUCAUGGAGUUUUUUUUUUUUUUUUUUUGCAGGUUCCUGCAGUGUAAAGAACCUCACUGGUAAAAUCCAUUUUUUUUUAAUGUUCUAUCAAUAGGGCAGAAAGCAGGGAGGAAAGGGAAGGUGGCAUCUUCCUUUGAGCUCAUAUAGGCCUGUUUUCAGCACCCUGCUUAGAUUGAUUGCACGGUCAAGCAGAGAAGGAAUAGAAGUUUCUCACUACAGCUAAAUCUGACUGGAGACGGGGUGCCGAGUACCUGGCAGACAUCUGUUGGAGGACUGCAGUGCAUGUGAUUGAUGAAGCACGUUUGCUGACAUACAAAUAAGACAGACAUAACUUACCUGGUCACAGCCCACUUAUUCCCCUCUGAUUUGAUCUGGAAGACACCUACAGCAAAGGCUUCAGAAAAGGAUUGUCUGCCUACCACUUCUAAAACCACGAUAAUGCACGAAACUUUGCAGCCCAUCCAGGUGGGUGGUUACUCCUGGUACAUCCUCAUUUUGCUCCCCUCAGGAUGAACAUCAAGCUGCAGAAGGUUUUUGCUGCGUUGGUCAGUUUUUCAGCCAGGUCAUGAGCUCAGCCAGCUUGUGCAGAACCGCAUGAGUGCUCACGCUGACAAGAAGGAUGGGGAAGGUGGAGGACCGCUCAUCCUUCCCUGUAUACUGGCUGAAGUCCACCGUGGAGUCUGAGUGCUUGGGCAUGUCUGCACCUGUGUUUGGGGGAAUAUUUAACGUGACCACUCUGAAAACUGAGGCACUAGGAAAAUAAAAGUGAGCAUCUGCUUGGAGGACACCAGUAUCACCUGAACUGCAGUUAGGUACGAGGAACGGCAGAGAGCUGCUGAAGUGCUUUUGAGGCUCAGGGUCUCUGUGCAUAAUGUAAUUAUCUGAAUGCCUGAAGUACAGCGUAUUUGCUCCUUUUUUUUUUUUUAAUAAAAAAGGAAAUUUAAAUGCAAAACUUCUGUUAAGGCACAUUAAGCUUUAAGACUCGAAUACAACAAUCAUCUCAUUCAGGCUCUACUUUCCGCAGCUUUUCUCACUUAGCCAGAUGACACAUGCCUGCUGUGUUUUAGAACUGAGCUCUGCCCUCAUUUACACCAGGAACCCUCAUUAAAUUCAGCUGAAUUCAUUGAAUUUAACAGGAUUGCCUGGUGUAAUUAAUGUUUUGAGGACAUUUUUUUUUUUCCUUAGCUUUAAUGCUUUAACACCAUAUACAGCAUUUAGAUGUGUAGUUGUCUGAAUAUAGAAGUGUUUGAGUUUCCUAUAUAUGUUAAACCCAAACCAUACCGUGACAUUGACACCAUUUCUUGCAUUUUUAUAAACAUUUAACAAUUUGCAUAAAUCCUGCAGUGAUGACAUGCCUUUGCAUUUAAAUUUUAAUUAUUCUGCAAAUCUACCAGGAUGUCACUUGUUUAAUGGCUCACUGAGCUUGGAGGUCACCCAGUCCAAGUCUCCUCUACUAAUGUUUUUAUCUGAGUAAAAGCUUCUACUAAUGAGAACACAGCAAACAUACUGAAAUGUAUGAAUGUCAUAUGUAUGAAUUAGAAAUUAGAGAAACUUGGAGAACAGGGGAUUAUGUUUUCAUGGUGUUUCUGUUUUAAUGGUUAUUUGACUCUGACUAGGACCAUAAAUUCUUGUUCUCUGCUAAUGUGAACACAGGUUGUCAUUUACACAUGCAGUGAGUGUUAAGGCAUUGCUGAAUCAAAAAAUAAAGGUUUUCUUUUUUUUUUUUUUUUUUUUUCUCCUUGACUGUAGAGGUGGAUGGCUUCUGUGGGCUGGGUGAUGAUGACUCCAGCUAAUUUCAUUUAGAACUGGGAAAGACAAUUCAAGCUUCCUGAAAGCAUCUUCUGGAGUUGCAGAGGUGAGUAGAUCAGAUAACAAUGGAACAAGACAGCUGACCUUACGCAAAAAGCAUGGGAAUCUGUUAUAUGUUAUUAAUUUAUAUAUAAUUGUAAAAUUAUUUAACUGGACUCAUUCAGUGCUCUCAAAGCCUUCAAAUGCAAUGAAGGUUACAUACCGGGAUCCCUCCCUAUCUACUAAGAAAUCCCCCACACAAGAAAAAGUGAUCUAUGUUGGAGAAAAAACAAAAGUUACUUAUAAUGAGUAACUAUUGGAUCAGAUUAAUAGGUGUGAAAAACUGAAAACGACACUAAUUUCAACUCAGUUAUACAACUUGAACUAAGAAUUUGUCCAAUUACUCCUAAACCUCAUCUAAGAUUAUAAAAAUAUUUAAAAUAAAGGUAAAAGCUAAUAAAGAGUAAUGCAGAAGUAACUUUUUA